rnacentral:tRNA from 1 species
GUCCUCGUAGCUUAUGAAAAGCAUGACACUGAAGAUGUCAAGAUGGGCGUCCAACACACCCCCAAGGACA